rnacentral:lncRNA from 1 species
CAGUGAAAAUGACAACAGAUUAAACUUUUCAGGUUACUAAUGAGUAACAACUUAUUUUCUGGAUUUCCUAGGAGUUUUUCAAUAUUUGAUGAAUUUGCCCCGCUCGGAUUAUAUUUGUGUGUACUUCUGGAGGAAAAGGUGAAAGGGAAGAACAGUGAUUCCCCUUCUCUGUCCCUUCACACAUGGCAAGAAAAGAUGAAAAAGAAAGUGCAGGCUAAAAAGAAAGUCUGCAAUAAUAAUAAUAAUUGAAAAAGCUUCCAGAAGGAUUAGUUAAUGAAUUACUAACUACUCACGACAGCAGUGGAAUAUUUUUAAUAUGUCUGCCUGUGAGAAGUCAGCCCCAGGUCAGACCAGCACUAUGUCUCUGCCUUACUUACACCUUCAAAAAUGGAUUUUGGCAAAACCUUUCACUGACAUUCCUUAGAGAAGAGAUGGAGAAGCAUGGAGAAUUAUUUGCCAGAGUCACUAACAGCUGUUUGAGAUCUUACUAUAAAGUGGUGAACAUGGUCAGUUCUCACUGAAGUCAGCAGGAGCUUGAGAAUACUUAAUAGGCUGUGGAAGAGAAAUGCUGACAUUUACAUGAGAAAUUGUUUUUAAAACAGUAUUUACACAAAUACAAAUAUUAAUUAGCCUUCUGUUAACAAAUGACUGCCUGAAAUA